CCUACGGGCGGCAGCAGUGGGGAAUAUUGGACAAUGGGCGAAAGCCUGAUCCAGCCAUGCCGCGUGUGUGAAGAAGGCCUUCGGGUUGUAAAGCACUUUCAGUGGGGAAGAAAGCCUUGGGGCUAAUACCCUCGAGGAAGGACAUCACCCACAGAAGAAGCACCGGCUAACUCCGUGCCAGCAGCCGCGGUAAUACGGAGGGUGCGAGCGUUAAUCGGAAUUACUGGGCGUAAAGCGCGCGUAGGCGGUCUGAUAAGCCGGUUGUGAAAGCCCCGGGCUCAACCUGGGAACGGCAUCCGGAACUGUCAGGCUAGAGUGCAGGAGAGGAAGGUAGAAUUCCCGGUGUAGCGGUGAAAUGCGUAGAUAUCGGGAGGAAUACCAGUGGCGAAGGCGGCCUUCUGGACUGACACUGACGCUGAGGUGCGAAAGCGUGGGUAGCAAACAGGAUUAGAUACCCUAGUAGUC
rnacentral:rRNA from 1 species